AUUGAACGCUGGCGGCAUGCUUAACACAUGCAAGUCAACUUGUGGCGGACGGGUGAGUAACGCGUACAGAACUUGCCUCACAGAUAGGGUCAACAUUUGGAAACGAAUGCUAAUACCUGAUACUGUGAGAGAGCUGUGCGUCCCAUUAGCUCGUUGGAGAGGUAACGGCUCACUAAGGUGAUGAUGGGUAGCCGGCCUGAGAGGGUGAUCGGCCACAAGGGGACUGGGACGCGGGCCGUACUCCUACGGGCGGCAGCAGUGAGGAAUUGUGGACGAUGGGCCAAAGUCUGAUGAAGCAAUUCUGUGUGCAAGAUGAAGUUUUCGGAAGGAAAAGUGCUUUCAGUUGGGAAGCGGUACCAACAGAAGAAGUGACGGCUAAAUACGUGCCAGCAGCCGCGGUAAUUC
rnacentral:rRNA from 1 species